AUGUUCUGUGAGCAAAUUCCUGCCCAAACCCCUACAUGCCAGACACAUUUAGAGUUGCUCUGCUAUCAGGUGAUGGUCACAGUAUUUAGCAGCUGGUGCCACACUAGAGCAGAACAGAUCUUGAAGGCCACCUGCAGUGCAGACAUCUAUACUUUAGUUGUUGGACUGAAGUCACCUUGAGGACUGAGGGUAAAGCAACUCCUCACUAAUACAUUGGGAAAUAUUUAAAUAUUUUAAUAAUAAUUUUUUAAAUAAUAACUUU
rnacentral:lncRNA from 1 species